rnacentral:lncRNA from 1 species
GACAAAUAGAGAGAGAGCGAGAGGUGAGAGAGAGAGAGGUAAGAGACAAAGAGCGAUAGAGGGAGAGGUAAGAGACAAAGAGCGAUAGAGCGAGAGGUAAGAGACAAAGAGAGAGAGAGCGAGAGGUAAGAGACAAAGGGAGAUAGAGCGAGAGGUAAGAGACCAAAAGAGAGAGCGAGAGGUAAGAGAGAGAGCGAGAGGUAAGAGACAAAGAGAGAGAGCAAGAGGUAAGAGACAAAGCGAGAGAUGAGAGACAAAGGUAAGAGACAGAGAGCGAGAGGUAAGAGACAAAAAGAGAGAGCGAGAGGUCAGAGACAAAGAGAGAGCGAGAGGUAAGAGAGAGAGCGAGAGGUAAGAGACAAAGAGAGAGAGCGAGAGGUGAGAGACAAAGAGAGAGAGCGAGAGGUAAGUGACAAAGAGAGAGAGCGAGAGGUAAGUGACAAAGAGAGAGAGCGAGAGGUAAGUGACAAAGAGAGAGAGCGAGAGGUAAGUGACAAAGAGAGAGAGCGAGAGGUAAGUGACAAAUACAGAGAGCAAGAGGUAAGAGACAAAGAGAGAGAGCAAGAUGUAAGAGCGAGGGGUAAGAGACAAAGUUAGAUAAAGCGAGCAAGAGGUAAGAGACAAAGCGAGAGAUGAGAGACAAAGGUAAGAGACAAAGAGAGAGAGAGAGCUAAGAGACAAGGAGAGACAGAGCGAGAGGUAAGAGACAAAGAGAGAUAGAGCGAGAGGUAAGAGACAAAGGGAGAGAGAGAGGUAAGAGCAAAGGGAGAUUGAGCGACAGGUAAGAGACAAAGAGAGAUAGAGCGACAGGUAGGAGACAAAGAGAGAUAGAGCGAGAGGUAUGAGACAAAGAGAGAUAGAGCGAGAGGUAAGAAACAGAGAGAGAUAGAGCGAGAGAGUUAAGAGAAAAAGAAAGAGAGAGCGAGAGAGAGAUAGAGGUAAGAGACAAAGAGAGGUAAGACACAAAGAGAGAGAGCGAGAGGUAAGAGACAAACAGAGAUAGAGCGAGAGGUAAGAGACAAAGAGAGAGAGCGAGAGGUAAGAGACAAACAGAGAGAGCGAGAGGUAAGAGACAGAGGCAAAGAGAGAGAGCGAGAGAGGUAAGAGACAAGAGAGAUAGAGCGAGAGGUAAAAGACAAAGACCUAGAGCGAGAGAGAGCGAGAGGUAAGAGACAAGAGAGAGAGACCGAAAGCGAGAGAGAGAGAGAGAGAGAGGUAAGAGACAAAGAGAGAUAGAGCGAGAGGUAAGAGAAAAAGAGAGAGCGAGAGAGAGGUAAGAGACAAAGAUAGAUAGAGCGAGAGAGAGAGAGGUAAGAGACAGAGAGCGAGAGCAAGAUGUAAGAUGUAAGAGAGAGAGAGUGAGAGAGAGGUAAGAGACAAAGAGAGAUAAAGCGAGAGGUAAGAGACAAACAGAGAUAGAGCGAGAGGUAAGAGACAAAGAGAGAGAGCGAGAGGUAAGAGACAAACAGAGAUAGAGCGAGAGGUAAGAGACAAACAGAGAGAGCGAGAGGUAAGAGACAGAGGCAAAGAGAGAGAGCGAGAGAGGUAAGAGACAAGAGAGAUAGAGCGAGAGGUAAAAGACAAAGACCUAGAGCGAGAGAGAGCGAGAGGUAAGAGACAAGAGAGAGAGACCGAAAGCGAGAGAGAGAGAGAGAGAGAGGUAAGAGACAAAGAGAGAUAGAGCGAGAGGUAAGAGAAAAAGAGAGAGCGAGAGAGAGGUAAGAGACAAAGAUAGAUAGAGCGAGAGAGAGAGAGGUAAGAGACAGAGAGCGAGAGCAAGAUGUAAGAGACAAAGAGAGAUAGAGCGAGGGGUAAGAGACAAAGAGAGAUAGAGCGAGCAAGAGGUAAGAGACAAAGCGAGAGAUGAGAGACAAAGGUAAGAGACAAAGAGAGAGAGAGAGCUAAGAGACAAGGAGAGACAGAGCGAGAGGUAAGAGACAAAGAGAGAGAGUGAGAGAGAGGU